CAGCUAGAAGACAGUAACUCACAGACAUUUAUGUUUUGGCAAGAUAAGGAGCCAUGACUGGAAUCUCGGCUUCUGACUGCAGUACUUACACUUCUAGUUGUUCCUCAAUAAACAAUUUGGUUCCGGAGAGAAUGUGACUAUGGAUAUUGCCCUACCCGUUUUGGAGAAGGCAUCUUAUAUCACAGAGAAAGGUGUCAUCUAUAUGCUCCCUUCCAGUUUAUGAUUCAUCUUUGACCCAUCUGCCAGCCCAGAUCUCCUACUUAAUCAGUGAACUUGGCACAUGUGGGGGCUGCCCUACUUAUGGUUCAGACCCCAGCUUCAGUUCCUUCAGGUCACCGGACACAGUGCAGACGCCUGGCAUGGCUUCCCCUUGGUGCCUGUUCGUUCUCUCACACUCUCUCCCUGUCUAUCUCUCCGUCUCUCUCCCUCUCCCCCCACCCACUUCCACUUCUCUUUGACAGAUGUAAAAUUCGUGCAGCCAUCUCUGACGCUGCUAACCACAGGCAUUCAGGAACAGCCUUGCUCCAAAUCCUGCUUCCUAUUUUCAUAUUUCCUGUGGCGUUUUAUAGAAAUAGCAGAACAAUUGCUCAUCCACAGGGGGUAAAGAGAGCAGGAUUUUAUAUAAUUAAAUUUUAAAGUGACAAAGUUUUCUGGCAUAUGGGAAAAUAGAGGGAAGGGGUGACAGGACAAGGACCCUCUGGGGUAAAAGAGAAGGCUUCUCUUUGCAUUGGUGACAGAGAAUCCAGCUUUAAUCCUCUUUUGAAAGCAGUGAUCAGGACCACGGACAUAAUUCAUGCCUUUACUUCUGCUUCUCCUUGCAUGGAGCUGCAGCACACACCAACUGGUAAAUGGGUCCCUUGUCAAAGACUGCCUGAAAUCCCCUGCAUCCAAAGGGAGUGUCUGGAUUUUUAGGAAGUGUUGAUAAUUUAUUUCCAACUCCUGCACUGGAGGAAGAAGAAACAAGUGACAGCUCAUCUCCCAAAAGGAACAUUUUUCACGUGAUGAAGAACAGAGAUCAGCAACAUCUGCCUGUAGCCAGCACGCCUGGAGUUUCCCAUAAACACAGGUUUCCAUGAAAACCAAACAAAGGAACAUAGAGAAUGGCCAGGCAGAUUCCACUUCAGCUCCUGGAUAUAAAUGAGUCUUACAACCUCCUUCCUUUUAAGGACAGGGACCUGAGGCUGGCUUCUCGACAAUGGUUCUGAUUCUCAUUCCAUGGACUCCUGAAUCAGAGUCUUCCUUUUGCCCUUCAUAAAUUAUACCUAUUAUCCUGUCUAAGUACUCCUCAUCCUCAAAUGAGCCACAGCAGAGGGAGUAUUCCUGAAGAAGGGAGGGUAGAUUCUUGCAUUUAUUAAACUGCCACUAAGUAAAAAUGAAUGCUGGACUUGGAGUUAGAAGACUCAAUUUGCGACCAAGAUAUUCCACCUUCCACAAAGAAAACUUUGUCAGAUUUCUUAAUAUGAGCCUUAGUGUACUCAUUUGGCAAAAGGGGACAUGGCUUUGAUGGACAGAACGUCUGGAAGAGAAUUAAAUUAUGUAAGAAAAUACAAUUUAUUAUGCAGAUUCAACAUUUUGAUGUCAGUCAUGGUUAUUAUGACUAUGAAAAGAGGGAUAAUCUUUCUAAAGUUUAUCAAACGUUCUAGAAGCAUAGUAAUGUAUGUGAAUAAAAAUUGUGUGUACAUGU